GACGAACCGAGCGAACGUUAUUCGGAAUCAUUGGGCUUAAAGGGCGCGUAGGCGGGCGAUCAAGUCCGGGGUGAAAGCCCCCAGCUCAACUGGGGAAGUGCCUCGGAUACUGGUCGCCUCGAGGGAGAUAGGGGCGUGCGGAACUUCCGGUGGAGCGGUGAAAUGCGUAGAUAUCGGAAGGAACACCGGUGGCGAAAGCGGCGCGCUGGAUCUCUUCUGACGCUGAGGCGCGAAAGCCAGGGGAGCGAACGGG
rnacentral:rRNA from 1 species